rnacentral:lncRNA from 1 species
GGCGCUUCAGUUGCAAUCACAGAAUUGAUGCUUCAGCUACAACCAGCAAUUAGGAGAGGUAAACCAGAAAGUCUUUCAGUUAAAACAAUAAUCAGUAUAAAUGAAUGAUCUUAAUGGGGUAGUUGAGAUGAUGGAAUGAUUAAAGUCAGAAAACGUUUCUGACUCUAAUGAGCAACCUAAAAGUUUUUCACAUCGGGACACAACCAGUAUAAAAUGACAUGAAUCAGAAUAUGCAAAGGAAAGAGAUUACAUAUACAUUACAACACAGAAAAAUAAGAGAAACAGACUACAACACAAAGAGAGAGGGAGAACAUACUAAUAGGGGGAUAUACACAUACGCAUACACAACCAUAAGAAAAAUCAAAGAGGAAACAUAAACACAUAGGAUACGCAAUCAAAGAACGCACAUACUUUGCAAUAGAGAACAUAUAAUCCAAAGGCAUACACAGGGAGAAAAAUCAGUGAGCACAUUAAGUUCACACUUCAUAACAAUUAGAGACGCACCUACACAUAUAUUGUGAAAUCAGAACAUCAUAGACCACAUAUCACUAUACACAAGAAUAUCACACGCAACAGGACACGAUACAAAGAAAUCAGAGAUAUCAUAUCUACCCAGAAAAGAGUAUCGACAGUAAAGAUCAAGAAGGAAACUGAGAAUGGAUUCUUGAGACAAAAAUCAAGGAUCAACUAGAAACAAGAAGUCGACAUCUAAAGGGUAAAUCUCAGGUAAGCUACUCAUCCUAUAAAUAUUUACAAACAGAAUGCAUUUUAUUCACUAAAUGUUCUGAAUACCAAAGAAGAUAGGUAUCAUAUAGUCAUAACUAUAACAUAGAUCAAGAAACAAUAGCGCACAUGGUUUAGAAAUUUGAGUUCAACUCCCCAUGUAAUUACAACAUAAGAAAUGGAAAAGAUAAUUAAAAAAAUUCAAUAGAAUAAAGAAAGGGGUGAUAACCGUGCUCACCCUUGCAUCGGCAAAUUUGGUGGAAUGUUGUUGCCUCCUUUAUUCACGGUUACCGUCGGUCAAGUGGGGGAGAAUAGAAACCCGAACCACCGCCUUGCGGUGACAUUACCGUCGCUCCGCGAGUGAGUAGGAGAAGGAGAUGAUUUAGGGAUUCCAUUCCCUUUUGGCCUCCUUCACGUGACUUAGGGAUUUUUUCCCUCUUUCAACCUCAUUCACGUUUGGUCUGAGUGUUUAAAGUAAUCCUUUUUUUG